rnacentral:tRNA from 2 species
GCAUUGGUGGUUCAGUGGUAGAAUUCUUGCCUUCCAUGCAGGAAACCUGAGUUCAAUUCCCAGCCAAUGCA